ACGCUAGCGAUAGGCUUAACACAUGCAAGUCGAGGGGCAGCAUGGUCUUAGCUUGCUAAGACUGAUGGCGACCGGCGCACGGGUGCGUAACGCGUAUGCAACUUGCCUCACAGAGGGGGAUAACCCGUCGAAAGACGGACUAAUACCGCGUACACUCUAUGUUGGGCAUCCAAUGUAGAGGAAAUGAACUUCGCUGUGAGAUAGGCAUGCGUCCCAUUAGCUAGUUGGUGAGGUAACGGCUCACCAAGGCGACGAUGGGUAGGGGAACUGAGAGGUUGAACCCCCACACUGGUACUGAGACACGGACCAGACUCCUACGGGAGGCAGCAGUGAGGAAUAUUGGUCAAUGGGCGAGAGCCUGAACCAGCCAAGUCGCGUGAAGGAUGACUGUCUUAUGGAUUGUAAACUUCUUUUAUACGGGAAUAACAAGAGUCACGUGUGGCUCCCUGCAUGUACCGUAUGAAUAAGCAUCGGCUAACUCCGUGCCAGCAGCCGCGGUAAUACGGAGGAUGCGAGCGUUAUCCGGAUUUAUUGGGUUUAAAGGGUGCGUAGGCGGCCUGUUAAGUCAGCGGUGAAAUCUAGGAGCUUAACUCCUAAAUUGCCAUUGAUACUGGCGGGCUUGAGUGUAGAUGAGGUAGGCGGAAUGCGUGGUGUAGCGGUGGAAUGCAUAGAUAUCACGCAGAACUCCGAUUGCGAAGGCAGCUUACUAAGGUACAACUGACGCUGAAGCACGAAAGCGUGGGUAUCAAACAGGAUUAGAUACCCUGGUAGUCCACGCAGUAAACGAUGAUAACUGGGCGUAUGCGAUAUACAGUAUGCUCCUAAGCGAAAGCGUUAAGUUAUCCACCUGGGGAGUACUCCGGCAACGGUGAAACUCAAAGGAAUUGACGGGGGCCCGCACAAGCGGAGG
rnacentral:rRNA from 1 species